rnacentral:lncRNA from 1 species
GUUUUUAAGUAUAUAUAAUAUUAAAACUUUAAGAUAAUCUAAAUGAUCUAUUUUUAAAAUUGUUUUGUAGCUGUUUGUUUUAGUCUUAGUAGUUUUUGCAUAUUUUUAUUAAGAAAUUUUAUAUCUUUGUUUUCCAUGUGUUUAUUUUUAUUUUUUCUAGUAACUGCAAAAGUUUUUGUUUUUAUCUUCUUUUUUUUUUUAUGUAACUUAUCACCUUAAGUAU